rnacentral:rRNA from 1 species
UCCGUAGGCGGAAUAAUAAGUCAGUGGUGAAAGUCUGCAGCUCAACUGUAGAAUUGCCAUUGAUACUGUUGUUCUUGAAUUAUUAUGAAGUGGUUGGAAUGAGUAGUGUAGCGGUGAAAUGCAUAGAUAUUACUCAGAACACCUAUUGCGAAGGCAGAUCACUAAUAAUAUAUUGACGCUGAGGGACGAAAGCGUAGGUAGCGAACA